rnacentral:tRNA from 1 species
GGGGAUUUAGCUCAGCAGUAGAGCACUUGCCUAGCAAGCACAAGGCCCUGGGUUCGGCCCCCAGCUCCG